UACGUAGGUGGCAAGCGUUGUCCGGAAUUAUUGGACGUAAAGCGCGCGCAGGCGGUCUUUUUAAGUCUGAUGUGAGAGCCCACGGCUCAACCGUGGAGGGUCAUUGGAAACUGGGAGACUUGAGUGCAGAAGAGAAGAGUGGAAUUCCAUGUGUAGCGGUGAAAUGCGUAGAGAUAUGGAGGAACACCAGUGGCGAAGGCGACUCUUUGGUCUGUAACUGACGCUGAGGCGCGAAAGCGUGGGGAGCAAACAGGAUUA
rnacentral:rRNA from 1 species